rnacentral:piRNA from 1 species
UGGAUGUAUGAACUUAGGUGUGGUGCUUG